GCGGGGGUGCCGGAGUUGGUCAAACGGGCUGGACUUAAGAUCCAGUAGCUUAGUGCUUGCGCAGGUUCGAGUCCUGUCCCUCGCA
rnacentral:tRNA from 1 species